UACGUAGGGGGGCUAGUGUUGUCCGGAAUCAUUGGGCGUAAAGAGCGUGUAGGCGGUCCGGUAAGUCCGUUGUGAAAGUCAGGGGCUCAACCCUUGAAUGCCGGCGGAUACUGUCGGGCUAGAGUCCGGAAGAGGCGAGUGGAAUUCCCGGUGUAGCGGUGAAAUGCGCAGAUAUCGGGGAGGAACACCUAUGGCGAAGGCAGCUCGCUGGGACGGUACUGACGCUGAGAACGCGGAAAGCGUGGGGGAGCAAACAGG
rnacentral:rRNA from 1 species